UGGCGGACGGGUGAGUAAUGUCUGGGAAACUGCCCGAUGGAGGGGGAUAACUACUGGAAACGGUAGCUAAUACCGCAUAACGUCGCGAGACCAAAGAGGGGGACCUUAGGGCCUCUUGCCAUCGGAUGUGCCCAGAUGGGAUUAGCUAGUAGGCGGGGUAAAGGCUCACCUAGGCGACGAUCCCUAGCUGGUCUGAGAGGAUGACCAGCCACACUGGAACUGAGACACGGUCCAG
rnacentral:rRNA from 1 species